rfam:Kushneria sp. YCWA18 contig13, whole genome shotgun sequence.
UGUCGGUCCUCCCGCAACGCGAAAUCGCGAACCCCGCCAGGCCCGGAAGGGAGCAACGGUAGCGAUGGAGCCGUGUGCCGGGAUGUGGCUGAUGAGG